rnacentral:rRNA from 1 species
GAUGAACGCUGGCGGCGUGCCUAAUACAUGCAAGUCGAGCGAACAGACGAGGAGCUUGCUCCUCUGACGUUAGCGGCGGACGGGUGAGUAACACGUGGAUAACCUACCUAUAAGACUGGGAUAACUUCGGGAAACCGGAGCUAAUACCGGAUAAUAUAUUGAACCGCAUGGUUCAAUAGUGAAAGACGGUUUUGCUGUCACUUAUAGAUGGAUCCGCGCCGCAUUAGCUAGUUGGUAAGGUAACGGCUUACCAAGGCAACGAUGCGUAGCCGACCUGAGAGGGUGAUCGGCCACACUGGAACUGAGACACGGUCCAGACUCCUACGGGAGGCAGCAGUAGGGAAUCUUCCACAAUGGGCGCAAGCCUGACGGAGCAACGCCGCGUGAGUGAUGAAGGUCUUCGGAUCGUAAAACUCUGUUAUUAGGGAAGAACAAAUGUGUAAGUAAAUAUGCACGUCUUGACGGUACCUAAUCAGAAAGCCACGGCUAACUACGUG